rnacentral:rRNA from 1 species
UACGUAGGGUGCGAGCGUUGUCCGGAAUUAUUGGGCGUAAAGAGCUCGUAGGCGGCUUGUCACGUCGGGCGUGAAAUCCCUGGGCUCAACCCAGGAACUGCACUCGAAACUUCUUUUCUUGAGUGCCGGAGAGGAAAGCGGAAUACCUGGUGUAGAGGUGAAAUUCGUAGAUAUCAGGUGGAACACCAGUGGCGAAGGCGGCUUUCUGGACGGUAACUGACGCUGAGACGCGAAAGCGUGGGGAGCGAACAGG